rnacentral:rRNA from 1 species
CACGGGUGAGUAACACGUAUCCAACCUGCCGUCUACUCUUGGACAGCCUUCUGAAAGGAAGAUUAAUACAAGAUGGCAUCAUGAGUUCACAUGUUCACAUGAUUAAAGGUAUCCCGGUAGACGAUGGGGAUGCGUUCCAUUAGAUAGUAGGCGGGGUAACGGCCCACCUAGUCUUCGAUGGAUAGGGGUUCUGAGAGGAAGGUCCCCCACAUUGGAACUGAGACACGGUCCAA